rnacentral:lncRNA from 1 species
AAAUUCUGUAAUAUGUAAUUAAAUUAUACAUAUAUUUCACAUACUGGACUAACCAAAAACAUUUAUGUAUUAUUUUGUACACUACUUCUCCCCAGUUGCAAGAGUAUAGCACAGAGCUUGAUGUUGGUUUGCCAGCCCCUCUGAACACACUGGGCCGGUGGCUACAGCAAAUGGAGGAUGUGCUAUCUGAAGACAGCGGGAACGCUGAAGAUCACGCACUUGCUUCCAGAGACGCCAGACACAAGCAUGACCAACUGAAGGUCUUGCUUGAGGACUUAAGCCAGCACUUGAACACCCUUCAUCACUACCAGAUCACAGAUGAUGAAGUGCCAGUCGAGAAGCUGGAGGAGAUCAAGAGACGGUUGGAAAAACAAAAUCUAUUCAGUGCUUCCUGCUGAAAAGACCAGCAUCUGUAGUGUUUAGAACAUCAGAUGCUGGUAUGUCCAUUAGAAAUCUGAAGUAGUAACAAGACAGACCAGUUUUCUGUUCAAAGAUGGUCUUUUCAGCAGGGCCAUCCUUCAGUUCUCUUAAUGUUGUCAUCUUCAAGAAUCCAGGCUCUUUGCUAAUGUUCCUCAUUCUCCUUGAUAGUUUCACCAAUGCCAGAGUGACAGCCAAGUACCACGGCAUCAAGCUACAAUACAGAGAGCAGAUGCACCAUGUUUAUGACCUGCUGGGACAUCUGAAGUCUAAGCUGAGCUUGUGGAGAGGGCCUUACGGCUCCCAGGAGUCUGUUCAGUCUCUGCUACAAGAUUGGCACGACACUGUUGACAAGCAAGGUCUGGUGUGGAAGUUGAAGGAAGCACUUAAUAAGCUGAAGGACACAGCAGUCAGCUAUACCAGCAAAGCAGCUCUGGGUAAACCUAUAUUGUUGGCAGUUCUGUUUCUACUUUGGUUUUUAUGAAAGUUAGUACUUUUCCUGUAACUUUUAUCUGAUUUACCCUUUCUCCUUUGUUUGUUUUCCAGCCGACGACUCACCUGUGGUUAACAGGCUGGUAAAAGAGGCCGAUAGUGAGACGGGAGUCAGUGCAGAAGCUGCAGAAGCAGUAAGAUCCACCAUGGAACGUGUUCUGGCUGCAUGGGAGUCCUACAAAGACUGCCUGUGUCUAUUACAGGUCUGGCUGGG